AGGUGUUCAUUUUAUUAUGCUUUAUAAUUUAUAUACAUGUUACAUAUAUUCAUUUUAAAGGUUUUGAUACAAUAAAUAAAAAAGGAAAGUACACAUAUACAAAUAAGAAUGCCAUUAUGAUGGGGAUGACCUUGAAUUUGCUUUUUUCUUCAAAUUAGCCUGUUCAUAAACCUCAAUACUGUAAUGAUUAGUCAACAAACAUUUACAAUGCACCUCAUAUACCUGUCUUGAUACUAGGGUUAGAAAUUACUAUCCUGUUAAAUUAUUUAGAAAGCAGUAAUGCCUUUUUAAAAGAUUACUUUAAAGAUUAUUUUACACGCCAGUUUCAAUAAUUCUUGAAACUAGUUACAAUCUCAUACUUGUGAUAGGCUACUUCUUUCAGCUUUUCUCUGAAAUUUAAAGCUUUCAAUGAGCAGAAGAAAUUUCUCCCAGAAUAUACUACAUAUAAAUUAUUAGCUGCUUCUUAAAGCAGCAUCUAAGAGAUGUCAAACUUUCCACUCAGUUGGAUAAGCUAAAACCUGAUCUUAAAAAUGAUGCUUGGGUACAACCUACCUAGUGUAUGUCAAUCCUUAGACAGAGACAACUAGCUGUGCCUCACACCCAAUUCUCCGCUGCUUCCUCAGUAAUGGAUCCUGAAAUGUUCAUUUGGCCAAUGACAACACAGAAUAAAGACUCGUUUCCAUCCCUCUUGGUAGCUAGGAAUCACGUGAUUAAGUUUGUGUUGAUAAGCCUAUGUGAUGUGAAUGAUUUGUAAGACCUGUUCUUAAAGGGGGCGGAGAUGCUGAUAGGACAUUUCCAGCUGCUACAACUCUGCAGCCCUGAGCCAGACUUUCCAUUCGAGAGAAAUAAACUAUCUUAUUUAAGUUGUUAUUGUUGGGGGGCACGGCCAAGCUAACACAUAAUGCCAAAUGAGAGUCAACUCCUUAACCUCAAAGGUUGAUACGACUGAUGGACAUUCUGAGAAGUGCUUAACUCCAAAUAUUUGACUGGUAAAACCUGCAAGCGCACCUAUGGUUUUAGACAGAAACAUCCAGAACAUCAAAAAGCAAUUGAUUUUAUACUAGCUUAAGAUGCAAAAUGACUGAGAAGUCCCUCCCCAUAAGAGAUCUAGAAUGAGCAAUUUAAACAAAACAAAAAUGGCUUUAUUUACAAUACUCAAUGCAUUUUACAAAUAACAUAUUUGCAUUCCCUAAGUCUUUUGGAAAAUAAUUCCAGUUUGUGCAAUGAGUUUACAGGAAAGACUUAAGACAUCUAUUAGACAUCUUAAACCCAAUUUCUAAGUUUUGAAAGACCUUAUAUUAAUAGAGGACAGUUUUUAAUGAAGAAAAACUAAACUCUGUAGUUAAAUAUUGCCCUUCAAUAUUUUAAAACCAAAUACAAACUGGACUAGUCUAUGAAAUAAUACCAUUAGAUUUGAAUGUAUUAUUUUCACUGCCCCCCCCCAACAGAAUGCAUGCACAAAGUAAACAUGGUAAAUUACAUUAAUGUUUUAUUUUAAUACUUUUUGGACUCUCUCAACUGUUUCACUUAGUCCAGAGUAUAGUUAGAUGAGGUUUCCGCCUGGGAAAACCCUAAACCACUACUCCCUGGUCCAGAACAGGGAGGAAUUUUCAGUGUGCGGAGACAGAAGGGAUUAGGACGAUUUUAAAGUAGUUUCUACAGAAGCCUUAAUUGCUCCUCAGAACAAGGUGCCCUCCAGGCCAGAGGGAUCAGUCAUCUCCCUCCUGACAGUUUGGGGAGCAACUAAUCCAAGACCCAGGGGACAAUCGGCUCCUCUCUCUCCCCCUCCUCCCUGAAUCACUACUUGAUUUUUUGCUUUCUGAGUUGAUGAUGGGGAACAGUUCCUGCGUUCAGAUUCGAGAAACUCCUUUCAUGUCACAUAAAGACCUCUGGGACAGGUAAAGAACAAGCAAGAAUAAUACUGUAAUUGCGCAGGAGUUUGCACCUCAUGCAUGUGAACGAGAAUAAACUUACUUUUCCACCUCCACACUUCAUUUCUCCUUAAAAGACAGUGUCUUUAACACCUGGCAUAAAUGGUUGACUGGGAGAUACUAAACUGGAGAAACAAAGUCCAACACUUGACAUAGCCAACAAAAUUCUAGGAUAAAGAGAUGGUGAGGUAGAGUUGAGAGAGUUCAAUUAAGUUUUUUGAGCACACAUCUUUUGGCACAUCCUCAAAUUAGACACCCUACUGAAUUCUCCUUUGUCAGACCUUUACAAAGUGCUGGCAACAUAGGAAUCCUUGGAUCUACUUAGGAAUCAUCUAUGUGAAAAGCUAACAGAAUAAAGUCAUUUGAAGAAAUCUAUUCCUCGCACGUUAGCAUAUUUAUCCCAAUACUGAAGCAAAUAAAAACAAUGCUAUCCAUUUGCUGAAUUUAUUUAAAACAAAUCAAUUUAGAAAUAUCAUAAACAAAACUUCUGACAUGUAAACAUACUGCCGUGUUCCUGAAACAGAUGUUAACACCCAAUAAGGGUUAAUAAUCGUGUGUUAGGAAAGCUGUCCAUUAAUAAGGCCAGUCUUCAGCAAAACUAAAACCAUUUUGUUUCUUUAGUUUUCCUAGACUGACAAUGCAAUACUGUCAAAUCACAAUCAAAGAGAAUAAAGACACGCUGGAUGGAUAGAUCAGUACCAUUGGUUACAGCUAAACAGUUUCAUUCUUGAUGCCACAUAAAAACAAUUAAGCCAAUCACAUCAAAUAAA